GAGCGCACUCUGUGGAGAAACUGAGGAACUUGUAGGUUUAAAAAUGGUUUAGACAACUAAAGUGCUGAUUGACUGACGGUAAUUGAAAUAACAGUCUUUAUCAAAGUAUUAAACAUGAUAAGGUUAAUAUAUCACAUUUGUUAAGUGCACGCAGAUUGCUUUCUGACAUGAUUAUUUACGUAAUUUUUAUUGUAACCGACAUUAGAUAGUUUCUGGUGGUUUCUAACGUUAGUUCUUGCUUCUACCGCUAGGGCUCUUUGUAGUAAUACUGUACGUAAUAUACAUGUAUAAGAAAACAACUUGAAUUCGCUGUAGCAAAGCAUAGAGGAUUUCACUACGACGAAUGCACUAGGUGCCGGUUUGGCUGAACGAAAAAUCGAGCAGGUGGAAGAGAAGGAAUUCAGAUAGUAAGAGGGGCUUUGCAUAAGGCCGCUGGAGAACUUUCGAUUGCCACACAGACUGCGCACGAUUGUAUUCUGUUUUGGCGACCUUCGGCAAUGUCUGUCACAGCGGAACUACGGUUGAAGCUGUUUUAAAAUCAUGGCAAAGCAUAAGGCCAAUUUUUAUCCACAUCCGUCGUAUGCAACUUUACACAGAAAUGCCGGACCAUAAUAACCUAAAAGUCUGAAAUAUUUAUGCCGGUCUCUAUCCACUGUAAAUACUACAUGAUAUUAAAGACAUAUGCGCAUUCUCCUUACGACCAACUGGCACACAAUCGAAUGUCUCGUCCUUGCGAAUUAUAUAACCUCAUAACAAAACGCAAACAAGUAAAAUCACUGAAUGAUAUUCGAGAAUUAUACCUGAAACGGCUGACAGGACAUCCUUCGAGUUAAGAAAAUAAUAUCGUUACAGGUAUUAAAAAAUUAUCAGAGUGUACUCUGAGUACACUUUGAAUUUUAUCGUUCGUCAUCAUUGCCUCUAGAGUCUGCUUAUUAUACUCAGUGUAUACCUAUGCAACUCGAGUGCAAUCGUAUCUGCAUGUUGGCUACGUGUCAUUAUGUCGCAAGAAAAGAACAGUUCGCAUGAACCAAUUACCCGAGAAUCGAUCCUCGACACGUGCCAAUAUAUUAUUUAAGAUUGUGCUGUCGAUACUGGUGUAGAGCCCUCUCAUGGAAAACAUGGACGAACAACUGCCACAGACUUUUUAAAAGUAUUGUGACGUUUCCGGGAGCAGUCAGUACACUCUGAGUCAGCAUGAUAGAAAUAGCCAAGAGGCCACACGUAUUACCAUGCAGGUUUUACUAAUAGAGACCAUUCGUUGAGAACUAUGCGAUCGAUUAAUCCACAGGGAGAUAUUGGAUGUCUUACUGCUAUAUAUAUGUAUAGCUGAAGCCAAGUAUCUUCCUAUCUCAAUGACUGUUGUAUUACAUUGUUUGAAAGGGUUGCAUAGGAAGCCUUCCUAGGUCAGCGGAGUCUGAUUCUGGGAGUGUUCGGACUGACCUGGGAAAGCAUUUUCAACGUGUAAUGAUGAUGGCAAGACAAGCAAUCGACACUAGAUAAGGUGUUGACGUCAUUAAUGACGAUACAUAACAAAUAUGUCAACGAGCUUAACAGUGAGCCUAAAAAGAGCC